rnacentral:pre_miRNA from 1 species
CCCGCCCGCGGUGGCGCCUCCACCGGGCCCGGUGCCGCCGGAUCCGGUGCCGUCGGACCCGGUGGAAGCUGCUGCCGAAGUCGUCA